GGGAAGUAAGUUGGUGAAGUUCUCAACUUCUGAAAUUAGACCAUAUUUGUUAGCCAAACUUUAUUUUAAUGUGCUAAUGGAGUUGAAAUUUCAUUGCCAAAAUGGUUCUUCAGAAUAUUUAUCUUCGAUUAUUCAAAACAAUAUUUUUUGCUGUGUUUAAAAUCAGUGCAAAAUACCAACAGAAAAGAAUUACCAUUCAUGAAGGAGAAAAAGCUGCUGUGUAUGUGUCUAUUGAGGUGUUCAUCUGUUUUUGUUGUCUCUUUGAGAACCUUUUUGCACGCAAUCUGUUUAGCCUAGUGAAUAAUUUUGUAUUUCAAAUGUGAUUACUUAAUGUUGUCUGGUUUGACAUAGGAGUAGUCUAUAUGGUAUAGACUUCCAUGUUACUGUACUAAAAGUCUCUUAAUAAUCCAUUUAGGUUCUAUUUAUCUCUUACCAUUUAACAUGAUAUACGAUAAUAAAGUUUGAUAGAGGUGACUUUAUUGUAUUACCAUUUUGUGAUUAAUGAUGAAUUCCUUAUCCAUGGAUGCACAAUAAAACUAGGAAAUAGCAACCUGAUAACAUGUACCUCUAUUACUCUCUUUUACUAUUAGCACAUGUACUUCCUUGAAUCCUUGCUGACCCUUAUGAUGGGGAAAUCUAAGAUAAACUCAGUUCUUAAUGGACUAUAUAGAAACAAGUGGUGGGAUUCACAUGUAGGUCUCGUAGGUAUUUAUAAUUCAUGAUGAACUAAGUCUACUCAAGAAUUUCUUCUUAUGAUGUUCAACAACUGGCCCUUAAUUCUCCUUCUAAAGUCUUUCACUCGUCCUGUUGUAUUCAGGACUUCGCUUUUUAAUUGAUUUUCUGCUGAUGUUGAAUAUUGUUUUAUUUUCUAGCUAUUGUUAACAGAGUAUUAUCAAAUUUGGAUUGACAGGCUGUGUGCAAUGCUUAUUGCGGU
rnacentral:misc_RNA from 1 species